AAAUUGAAGAGUUUGAUCAUGGCUCAGAUUGAACGCUGGCGGCAGGCCUAACACAUGCAAGUCGAACGGUAACAGGAAGCAGCUUGCUGCUUCGCUGACGAGUGGCGGACGGGUGAGUAAUGUCUGGGAAACUGCCUGAUGGAGGGGGAUAACUACUGGAAACGGUGGCUAAUACCGCAUAACGUCGCAAGACCAAAGAGGGGGACCUUCGGGCCUCUUGCCAUCAGAUGUGCCCAGAUGGGAUUAGCUAGUUGGUGAGGUAACGGCUCACCAAGGCGACGAUCCCUAGCUGGUCUGAGAGGAUGACCAGCCACACUGGAACUGAGACACGGUCCAGACUCCUACGGGAGGCAGCAGUGGGGAAUAUUGCACAAUGGGCGCAAGCCUGAUGCAGCCAUGCCGCGUGUAUGAAGAAGGCCUUCGGGUUGUAAAGUACUUUCAGCGGGGAGGAAGGUGUUGCGGUUAAUAACCGCAGCAAUUGACGUUACCCGCAGAAGAAGCACCGGCUAACUCCGUGCCAGCAGCCGCGGUAAUACGGAGGGUGCAAGCGUUAAUCGGAAUUACUGGGCGUAAAGCGCACGCAGGCGGUCUGUCAAGUCGGAUGUGAAAUCCCCGGGCUCAACCUGGGAACUGCAUUCGAAACUGGCAGGCUUGAGUCUUGUAGAGGGGGGUAGAAUUCCAGGUGUAGCGGUGAAAUGCGUAGAGAUCUGGAGGAAUACCGGUGGCGAAGGCGGCCCCCUGGACAAAGACUGACGCUCAGGUGCGAAAGCGUGGGGAGCAAACAGGAUUAGAUACCCUGGUAGUCCACGCCGUAAACGAUGUCUACUUGGAGGUUGUGCCCUUGAGGCGUGGCUUCCGGAGCUAACGCGUUAAGUAGACCGCCUGGGGAGUACGGCCGCAAGGUUAAAACUCAAAUGAAUUGACGGGGGCCCGCACAAGCGGUGGAGCAUGUGGUUUAAUUCGAUGCAACGCGAAGAACCUUACCUGGUCUUGACAUCCACAGAACUUUCCAGAGAUGGACUGGUGCCUUCGGGAACUGUGAGACAGGUGCUGCAUGGCUGUCGUCAGCUCGUGUUGUGAAAUGUUGGGUUAAGUCCCGCAACGAGCGCAACCCUUAUCCUUUGUUGCCAGCGGUUAGG
rnacentral:rRNA from 1 species